rnacentral:tRNA from 1 species
AGUUAAAUAAGUAAAUAAUAUAUUUUGAAAAUAUAUUAAAGAAGUUAAAAUCUUCUAUUAACUU